AACGAACGCUGGCGGCGUGGAUAAGACAUGCAAGUCGAACGCUUAUCUUUGUGUAGCAAUACAUGAAGGUAGGAGUGGCGCAAGGGUGCGUAACACGUGGGUAAUUUGCCGCGAAGUCCGGGAUAACUUGCUGAAAGGCGAGCUAAUACCGGAUGUGGAAAUUGGAAGGCAUCUUUUGAUUUCUGAAGCUGGGGACCUGUAAGGGCCUGGCGCUUUGCGAUAAGCCCGCGGCCUAUCAGCUAGUUGGUGAGGUAACGGCCCACCAAGGCUAAGACGGGUAGCUGGUCUGAGAGGACGACCAGCCACACUGGAACUGAGACACGGUCCAGACACCUACGGGU
rnacentral:rRNA from 1 species